CAGCAGCCGCGGUAAUACAGAGGGUGCAAGCGUUAAUCGGAAUUACUGGGCGUAAAGUGCGCGUAGGUGGUUUGUUAAGUUGGAUGUGAAAUCCCCGGGCUCAACCUGGGAACUGCAUCCAAAACUGGCAAGCUAGAGUAUGGUAGAGGGUGGUGGAAUUUCCUGUGUAGCGGUGAAAUGCGUAGAUAUAGGAAGGAACACCAGUGGCGAAGGCGACCACCUGGACUGAUACUGACACUGAGGUGCGAAAGCGUGGGGAGCAAACAGGAUUAGAUACCCCUGUAGUCCCUGUCUCUUAUAC
rnacentral:rRNA from 1 species